AUUGAACGCUGGCGGCAGGCCUAACACAUGCAAGUCGAGCGGAUGAAGGGAGCUUGCUCCUGGAUUCAGCGGCGGACGGGUGAGUAAUGCCUAGGAAUCUGCCUGGUAGUGGGGGAUAACGUCCGGAAACGGGCGCUAAUACCGCAUACGUCCUGAGGGAGAAAGUGGGGGAUCUUCGGACCUCACGCUAUCAGAUGAGCCUAGGUCGGAUUAGCUAGUUGGUGGGGUAAAGGCCUACCAAGGCGACGAUCCGUAACUGGUCUGAGAGGAUGAUCAGUCAAGUGGAAAUGAAAAAAGGGUCCAGACCCGAAGGGAGGAAAGGAGUGGGAAAUAUGGAAAAGGGGGAGAAAGCCUGACCAAGCAAGGCCGGGUGUGUAAAGAAGGUAUUGGAUUUGAAAAGCAUUUAAGGUGGGGGGAAGGGAAAGAAAGUAAAACCCUGGUGUUUUGAAGGUAACAAAAAAAAAAACCACGGGCAAAUUUCG
rnacentral:rRNA from 1 species